GGAGGUCAGCGGCGGACGGGUGAGUAACACGUGGGCAACCUGCCUGUAAGACUGGGAUAACUCCGGGAAACCGGAGCUAAUACCGGAUACUAUGUCAAACCGCAUGGUUUGACAUUCAAAGACGGUUUCGGCUGUCACUUACAGAUGGGCCCGCGGCGCAUUAGCUAGUUGGUGAGGUAAUGGCUCACCAAGGCGACGAUGCGUAGCCGACCUGAGAGGGUGAUCGGCCACACUGGGACUGAGACACGGCCCAGACUCCUACGGGAGGCAGCAGUAGGGAAUCUUCCGCAAUGGACGAAAGUCUGACGGAGCAACGCCGCGUGAGUGAUGAAGGUUUUCGGAUCGUAAAACUCUGUUGUCAGACCGGUGCAUGCCGGAGUAACUGCCGGCGCCUUGACGGUACCUGACCAGAAAGCCACGGCUAACUACGUGCCAGCAGCCGCGGUAAUACGUAGGUGGCAAGCGUUGUCCGGAAUUAUUGGGCGUAAAGCGCGCGCAGGCGGUUUCUUAAGUCUGAUGUGAAAGCCCCCGGCUCAACCGGGGAGGGUCAUUGGAAACUGGGAAACUUGAGUGCAGAAGAGGAGAGUGGAAUUCCACGUGUAGCGGUGAAAUGCGUAGAGAUGUGGAGGAACACCAGUGGCGAAGGCGACUCUCUGGGCCUUAAGCUACGCUGAGGCGCGAAAGCGUGGGGAGCGAACAGGAUUAGAUACCCUGGUAGUCCACGCCGUAAACGAUGAGUGCUAAGUGUUAGAGGGUUUCCGCCCUUUAGUGCUGCAGCUAACGCAUUAAGCACUCCGCCUGGGGAGUACGGUCGCAAGACUGAAACUCAAAGGAAUUGACGGGGGCCCGCACAAGCGGUGGAGCAAUGCCCGAAGGCUCGAAGCAACGCGAAGAACCUUACCAGGUCUUGACAUCCUUUGCCACUUCUAGAGAUAGAAGGUUC
rnacentral:rRNA from 1 species